CAAUAGCGUAUAUUAAAGUUGUUGCAGUUAAAAAGCUCGUAGUUGGAUUUCUGGUAGGAGUGACCGUUCCGAACUUGAUUGUUCGCGUAUUGUGUUUUCUCCAGCCAUCCUUGUGGAGAACUUUUCUUGCAUUAAUUUGUAGGGAUUGGGACCCGCAUCGUUUACUGUGAAAAAAUUAGAGUGUUUAAAGCAGGCAAUCGCUUGAAUACAUUAGCAUGGAAUAAUAAGAUAGGACUUUGGUACUAUUUUGUUGGUUUGCAUACCAAAUUAAUGAUCAACAGGAACAGUUUGAGGAUAUUCGUAUGAACAUGUCAGAGGUGAAAUUCUUGGAUUUUGAUCAGACGAACUACUGCGAAAGCAUUUAUCAAGGAUGUUUUCAUUAA
rnacentral:rRNA from 1 species